UACGUAGGGGGCAAGCGUUGUCCGGAAUCAUUGGGCGUAAAGAGCGCGUAGGCGGCCCUGUAAGUCCGCUGUGAAAGUCAAGGGCUCAACCCUUGGAUGCCGGUGGAUACUGCAGGGCUAGAGUCCGGAAGAGGCGAGUGGAAUUCCUGGUGUAGCGGUGAAAUGCGCAGAUAUCAGGAGGAACACCGAUGGCGAAGGCAGCUCGCUGGGACGGUACUGACGCUGAGGAGCGAAAGCAUGGGUAGCGAACAGG
rnacentral:rRNA from 1 species